rnacentral:rRNA from 1 species
UAGUCAUGCUCGCAGCGUGAACUAGCUAGCUGAAAUCACAAAAUCACAAAAUGUGCUUAUUGUGAUAACGUAAGGGAAAAAAAUGAUAUUACCUUACUAUAAGUGUUGUCUAAAUAACUGGUGCCAGAAGACUCGGUAACACCAGAAACGCGAACGUUAGUCGUCUUAAACAGGCGUAAAGGGUAAGUAGGCUGCUUUAAAGUCUAUUUUUAAAUAAGCUAGUUAAUAAAAAUCCACCCUUGCUAGCAACCCUAGCCUAUUGCUAUCGCUGCGCGAGGGAGGGCCUGUCUAAUAGUUUAUAAAUUUUCAGACCUUAAAUAAUAAAUUAAGGCUAAGUUAAAUGAAAAUAGGGUAUUCUUAUUAGGCGUCCUUCGGAUCCUUUUUAUUCUUAUUUAAAUAAUAAAAUUAAGAUUUCGGAUCCUACGGACAGCAUAAAUUAUAAUAAUUAAUUAUUAAUGGGGACAAAAUAGAUACACUUAAAGCUAGAAUCAUAAUUGAGAUAAACCAAAUAAUACUUAUGUGUAAGGGCGAUAUCUGAAAAUACUAAGUAGAAUACUAACGGUGAAAACUUUUUAUCUGGUAAUGAUUGACGCUGAGGUACGAAAGUGAGAACAGGGAAUAGGAUUAGAUACCCAGUUACCUCUCACCGUCAACGAUGAAUGGUAGUUGUUAAUUUAAUUUAAUUAGUGACGAUGUUAACGCGAUAACCAUUCCGCCUUGAGAGUACGGUUGCAAAACUGAAACCAAAAAAAAUUAGUCGGUUCCUCGGAUGCAAGAACGUAANAGUUCGCAUU